UUCAUUUGUUAAUUACUUUUAUUUAAAUGAACUAAGUACCACUCAACCUCAGCAAAACAGUUGGUCAAGGUGAAAAGGCUUAACAUUGUCUCAAUCCAAAGGUAUUACUAGUCAGCUAACAAAUUAAUGGUGUUUAUUAGGAUCCUAUCAAACACUGAUAGUAACCAGAUAGGAAAAAAUGUCCUGCUUGCUAUUUGCUGCCUUUCUUGUGCCCAAGGCUGUGAAUUCCUACUGCCAGUGGGCGAAUGGAGUUUUCCGUUCAAGAUGAUAUUUUCAUCUCUGCCGGGUAGCCCCCCACUCAUAGGACUGCCACUCACUUGAUGAACAAUACCCACGAUCAAAUACCUGAACGUAAUCUGAUUAAACUAGUUGAGGUGUAAUACAUGUCCUGUGGACAUUAUUUACCUUUAUUUAAUCAGGGAGUCACCAUUGAGACCAGUGUCUCUUUCAAGCGCUGCAUAUACAAUUUCAUAAAAUACAUAUAAUAUAAUAUAAGUACUACUUUACCUGGAAGUCAGCUGAUAAGGGACAUGAGGGAAUUAUUUUGACUAUGUGACGUGACUAAGAGGGACUCUACCCUAAUCAUCAUUCCUUCCAGUCAUUGUCAAUCCUGGAGUGAGAAUGGAAGAGCGUAGCAGAAAGAGAGCUUUUGUGCUUACUGCCUCAUGCGGCACAUGAGAGUCGACUUCACUAAUCGGGUUCAACAUACAUUAUACUUCAAAGUACAAACUAGUUGUGAAUUGGAUACAGGCAGACUUAGGUCUGCUAUUCAUUUGCUGAGAAAAUCACAUUCCCAACCAUGUGACCUGAUCAGGGAAAAACUCCUGACCCUAAAGUCAGCCAACAUUAGUAGCCAGUAUUGGCACACUCCACAGGAAGCCUGCGGAGGAGAGCUAACCCUUCCUCCACCCCAUCCCCUCCCUGAGACAUCCUCUCCUCCUCUUCCUCCACCCCCAUGUAGGAGAUGUGUGGGGAGGCCAGGGCCUCUUCCUUUAUGCAGGGGCCAUACUCCAGUGGCAGCAGCCUCUCGCUUUCGUGGAGUAGAGGCUGGUGGUUGGGCUGAUUGGGCUGGUUGUCCAUCGCUAGUUCCAGGUUGAAGAGGAGGGAGAAGCCCAGGGGGUCAAGGUGGCUCUCGGUUGGGGUGUUGGGGGUCUCGGUUGUGUAAUGGGUGCUGGUGGUGGACAGCUGGAACCGCAGGACAGAGCGACGGCGCUGUUGUGGAGGAGAAUCCUCUGCACUCUUAAACUGUGUAUGUGUUUCUUUGGCAGAUGCCAGAAAGCAUAGGGGCCAGAAUCUGAUAAGAUUGAAGGGCCACAACCUGACAGGAUUGCAGGGCCACAACCUGAUAGGAUUGCAGGGCCACAACCUGAUAGGAUUGCAGGGCCACAACCUGGCAGGACCACCGUGCCAAAAUCUGACAGGACCAGAGGGCCACAACCUAAAAGCAUCGCAAAACAGAGUGUAAGAGAGAGCACUGGCUGCACUAGCCUGACAGAAAGUGUUAUGGAAAAGUACUUGGUAGAAGAGAGAUUAAAACAAACAUGUCUAACAGACAGGAGCUACCCACCGGGCAAUAGCAGAUCAACAUUCAAUUUUGAUUGAUACAUAAUUGCCCACAGUUUAAAAUGAACCACACGUAGCAACCCUGUAGUCAAGUUUGUUGAUGUCAGGAUUAACCUGAUAAGAAAUUCUAUUGAAAUAUGAUUCAUCAACCACGUUGAUUUCAGACAGUAUGUUGAAAUAACAAAUGGUGACUCAACCAUUUCUAACCUGAUGGGGAGGCUCUUGCCAAUAACAACAUGGUGUUUGUGUGGCACAUGAUUUCCAGUAACUGGGAUCGCUGACUUACAGCUGAUAUGAUCUGACAGUCACGUCUCACCUGUGCAUGAGGUUCUUCCUGGGGUGAGAGAGCUUUAGAAGGAAUGGCACAGCCAUUUCCACACCCGGCCACAGCCACUUCCCUGGGACUUGGCGGAGCCAACACAGAAC
ensembl:lncRNA